rnacentral:lncRNA from 1 species
CUUGAAGUCUCAGGACCUGCCUAGCUUUGAUCCCAUGACGCUGACCCUUGGCAUCUUCCUGAUGAAAACUGUUCCCGAAUCUGGCUCUCGCCUCCAGAUUCUGGUUCUUGGGAACCCGAUCCCAGUGAUGUGAGCUGCACAUCGCCUCUGCCUUCUCUAGGCAUCAAGGCAGGGAAGGCUGCUGAGAAGUGGAAAACAGAGGGAGGUAAACCUACCUUGUUCACUCUUGACA